rnacentral:rRNA from 1 species
GAUGAACGCUGGCGGCGUGCCUAAUACAUGCAAGUCGAGCGGUAAGGUUCUGCACUUAGUAUUUGACCAGAUCAAGUCCACGGUAAGCGAUUACCAGGGAAACUGACUGAAGCAAGGAAACUCCAAGGCUGGAGAAUCCGAGUCGAAUCCUGGGUGUAGAAUACACGAGCGGCGGACGGCUGAGUAACACGUAGGAACGUACCCCAAAGUGAGGGAUAAGCACCAGAAANGGUGUCUAAUACCGCAUGUGAUCUUCGGAUGAAAGCUUCGGCGCUUUGGGAACGGCCUGCGCAUGAUUAGCUUGUUGGUGGGGUAACGGCCUACCAUGGCUCCGA